UCCAAGUGAAUGUACUUUAUUUCAAAUUGAAUAUAAUACAUAAUCACUUUUAGUACUAGGAAUCAAUGUUAUGAGAUUAUUUGUUACAAUAUACUCAACUACUACAUAUAUUCAAAUCUCUCGUCUAUACUCUCUCUUUUAAAAACAUCCAAAAUUCCCAUUUAUUUGUCAAAGUGAGUAUUGCUACGUUCAAAUAAAACACAUAAUAUAUUUUAAACAUAUUUGCUUUCAUGAGACUGAGUGUAUUUUUAGGUUUGUUUACUCUACCCCUGUUACUUCACUCCACUGCCACCACACUUUUCAAAGUCUCGAGUAUAAAAAGUAUUAUCAAAAAGAGAAAAAUAUCAUCAGUUUCUUUAGUCAAGUAUAUCUCACUAUGGGCGAACAUGACAUGUCUUUGCAAUGGGACUUUCUAAUGCAGUCAAAAAGGAAAGCAAAUGAUGUUAAAGCCGAGUGGAAUACAUAAAGCCAAGUACACAAAACAACGACCCAUCCAGGACAAGAGAAGUGGUACUAUUUGUAACCAGUCAGGGCCAUGAAAAAAGACCGAUAAUUCUCAUCAUCCAACUGGUGAAGAAGGGAGGGGAGUUGCGAGAAGACCCCGCAAUUGAGAUGAGCACGGCACUCCAGAGAUGGAUGGAUUCCCCUUGCGAAUCUGGGGGCGAGCCACAGCGUUUCAUACAAUGAAACAUGUGUUAUUUGGCAUCAUCUGUGGCUUCUAUCUGUCUCUUCUGGAGUUAAUUACUCCUGGUCUGGCCCCACUUGCGGGACCGACGCCAGUAGAGCCACACGCAUUGGUGGUCACCCUCUCAACUGUUAUAGUCCUCCUUGCAUGUAUGAAAAGUUCCGGGCUAUGAACAGAGAAAUAUAUUCGCCUUCCCCUUCAUGGGCUUGGGAUUCGCUUGAAAUUUCUCGAUUGCGCUGACUACGGGGUUCUCAGGAAUCGGCAUUGGAAUCUGUGUACUUCUGUGGUUUUCCAAAUGAAGUGCUUUUGGAGCAGGAAAGAUUAGUAUGCAUUUCUGCACACUUGAAGAAAACACUAUCCUUCACUAGCAAUCAUAGCGGCACAGCGCAAGGACGCCACAAGUGACGCUGCGUGCGGACUCUUAGUUGGCUACAACAGUCCUGAAACAUACUGAUCUGUUAGG
rnacentral:lncRNA from 1 species